UACACUUUGUGCCUGCUGGGGAGAUGCAGGGAGAGUUAAGUAAAGCUUUGUCCAGGAGGCAGCCCGGACAGAGAGAAGGUGGCAACGGCUGACCGGCUGCCCAACCAGCCCCUAAAAUGCAUGGACUUGAAGCCCCUGAUGAAGGGGCAGCACCCAGGAAAUUCCCGUUGGUUUUGACUGAAAUGGGUGGUACUCAUCUGUCACCUUAGGACACGGCUCAACUUCUGACCCGGGAAGCAAAGGCGUGGUGAGUAAGCGUCAGGCUGAAGCUCAGAACAGCUUGAAAGAAGAGGACAUUCAGCCCAAAUCCCGGGUGGCCUGUGACAUUUGCCAGCUGGAGAUUUCGUGAGCAGGCUAUCUUAGCUGUGACUUGGGUUUUCCAUAUCAGAAUUUGGUCUGAUGACGUUCGCCUCCUGUUUUAACACGGUAUUUAAGAAUGCAGGAACAAAGGAACUCUUAGCAUACUGAGAUCUACGCUCCAGAUCAUGAAAACAAGACAACUCACCGCGCUCCAAUAAGCUCUUGAACACCUCAGAAGAUAAGUGCCUCGCCAUGGUUCAGGUCCAAAGUGCCUCUGCACGUCUCUCCAGAGAAAGGCCUGGGACUGGCACCUCCAGCUGCCACCUGACUGUGCCUGUGACUUUCCCCAGCUGUCUGUCCUGGGACACUGGAUCAAAGUAUGUUUGGCAAUUGAAGAUUUUUAAAAAAUGUAUAUAUUUAUUUUAAAAGAGAGAGAGCAG